AAUGCCCCAUACAUUGGGUGCCAAUAAUGGAUUAGGAUAUGUCAUUAUAGAAAAUUCAAAGCAUGGCCAGCUAUUCUCCUAAAUCAGCUGCAGUCCUUUCUUUGUUUGACAUCUUUAACAUUUCAUCACAGUAAUUACAAAUUUUCAGCAUUUGACUGACAGUCAAAAUCAAGACAAAGCUAGCCAGAUUCAGAAAAAAAAGCUAAAUAUUGAAUUUGACAUCUGUGGUCAGUUAAUUUGUGGUCUCCUGUGCAUGUGUGAUACAAAAAGACAAGUACUGAAUCAUAAUCUUUUCUCUCCAAAAACAUCUUCAGCAGAUGCAGAUGAACCAGAUAUUUACAUAUGUUGUAUCAAAGAAAAGUUUAUUUCCCUGCGUGAUGUUUUUCUGUUUUCUGUUUGCAUGAAUGGACUUUUCUUCCACUGUCUAAAGAUGUGCAUGCUUUGCUAACUGGUUACUCUAAACUAGCCUUGGGUGGGACUGGGUGUGUAGAUGGCUGUAUGUUUCAUGUAUCUCUGUAUUGCCCCUUUGAUAGAAUGGAAACUUUUCCAGGUUUUUAAAAAAAAAAAGCAAAAGUUCAUGAAGUCAGAGUCCGGGACCUUUUUUCUUGGUCAGUUGGCUUAAUUUUUUGUUUCAUUCCCAGCCAUGCUUCUAGUUGCCACAGCAGCCAGCUCACUAACCUACCUGGGUCUAAACUACAGACAGACACAGCUGGAGUACCCAGUGCGGAGUAAUAGAUUCCCUGGCCCGGAGUGAUGUCCAUGUACAGGAUGCAGGAUUCGGAGUUUAAGAUGUGAAGACGUGGAUUGACACACCAUGUCUUCCUCCAGAGUCUCCCUCCUCAGCAUCACCAGAUUAAUGGAUUAGCAGGCAAGGCGAGCACUAAAGCUGGCUAAUUCUCACCCAAGCACAUAGAGCUAAAGCUACUCAGAGCCCCGCAGAGCCCCUCUCUGCUCAGAGCAGCUGUGUGGUGGAAGGAAGGACGGAGCUUCUUCCCUUCAACGAGCCUCUGGGAAAAAACUGUGGAAUCACAGCAUCACCUAAUGAGUUUUUAACUAAUGAUUUUUAGUAUGCCAUAGCCUACUGUUCAUACAAAACACAACAUUUGUGUGUUAGGUUUAAAAACUAAUGUACAGACUUGUUUUUUGAAUACGUUGAUUUUUAAAUCUUACGAUGUUUUCGGUUUAGUAAUGUCCUGUGCUUUACUAAUCAUGCAACAUUUCUUUCUAAUCAAUCAUAUAUGGAGUUAACCUAUAACAACUGCGAUGAUUUAAAAAAAAAUAAGAUUUGGGUGCUCAAUGUUUAUUUUCUCUCAUCCAUGCAGGAUCAGAUUUAUAUUUACAAGGCCAAAUAUAUCAAUACAUUUCAAUAACACCUUUAAUAGGUAGUGCUAACAGUUCCAGAUUGUUUUAUCCUUUAACCCCUAACAAGACCUGUAUCCCUUUCCGUAGUCAACCUGCAUGACUACCAUUGGUAGAAUAUUUCUGGCAGCAAUAAAUGAUAUGUUUGACAUAAAUUAUUUAAUUGACCAAUACUCAGUGGAUCACUGUUAUCCAAGAUGUUCAAAAACCUAAGAAGAAGAAAUUCAGAUUUAAAAAAGAUAAGAAAAUCUUUUGAAGCCAUUUAUUAUCA